CUCGUAGGUGGCCAACUAAGUCAAACGUGAAAUCCCUCGGCUUAACCGGGGAACUGCGUCUGAUACUGGAUGGCUAGAGAUUGGGAGAGGGAUGCGGAAUUCCAGGUGUAGCGGUGAAAUGCGUAGAUAUCUGGAGGAACACCGGUGGCGAAGGCGGCAUCCUGGACCAACACUGACGCUGAGGAGCGAAAGCCAGGGGGGAGCAAACGGGAUUAGAUACCCCGGUAGUCCUGGCCCUAAACGAUGAAUGCUUGGUGUGGCGGGUAUCGAUCCCUGCCGUGCCGAAGCUAACGCAUUAAGCAUUCCGCCUGGGGAGUACGGUCGCAAGGCUGAA
rnacentral:rRNA from 1 species